rnacentral:lncRNA from 1 species
GGAACUGGUCCCAGAGGACCCGUGUGUGGGUGGCAAGAACCCAGAGGAGCUGUGGGGAGAACGCAGCUGACUCCCACCUCUCUCCCUGGGCCUGGCCAGAUGACCGGGGUGGGACCGGUCCUGUCUGUGCAGCCGCAGGCAAACAGGAAGUUCUGGAGAAACGCUCAGGACUGUGCUGAGGAGAGCCUCUCCUCACCUGUGGACCUCCCAGCCACCCUCCCUCUGCAAACUUUCAUGAGUCCGGAUGUGAGAUCUCUCCCUGACCUGAGCCCUCCAGCCGUCCUGCCGUUUAACCCAGUGUCCCAGAAGCGUGGCAGGUGACAGUCCUCUCCUCGCAGCAUAGCACAAGAGAAAGGGUCCAGAACUGAAACGUCAGUGUCUGGAUUCCAUCAGAGCCAGCUCCUCCUGCUUGUGACCUUGACCCAUCUAUCAGUCCUCCUUUAUUCCACACCCUCCCCUUGGAGGUUUAUUGCACACCUCCUCUCCUUCAGCUGGGGCCGUGUCAUCUCUUCCCACGGACUACCUCCAUCAUCGCUGUAACCAAGCCUGACUCAGGGAGAAGGGAGUGAGACAUCUCUGGGCAGCCAGCACAGUAGAAGAAGUGGAUGGGCACUGGUUCUACUAGCCAGAUCACGGCCCACCUGCUGCCCAAAAUGUGCACCCGUUUGCAUAUGAUUGAGAACAACAGAAACAGAUUCCAGAUAACUUAAAAGAGGGGGAAAUGGACCGGUAGGAUGUAGAAUUGCUCAAGAACAGAAGAAAAGAUGGACGACUGGGCCUCACCAUGGGAGCCAGGCAGGAAGCAGACAGCAACUCAAGGGCGCUCUCUUCGCAUCGAAGACUCCAAUUGCUUUCCAUUCUUACAUCACUCCCUGAAAAAUUCUGGGACCCAGGAGAGAGAAAAUGAUGGCCAAGCUUGUGUUGCAGUGGGCAGGGUUGGUCCUGAAAGAAAAACCAAGGGACUACCACCAAAGAAG